CUUUCUCAGUCUGCAAGCAGUUUUCUUAGUGGAAGGGUGGUCACUGUCCGAGUCUAACACAAUGAUGCAAUCCAGAAGAGAGGGUGGUCAUUUUGACAAUGCUGCUAUCCAGAACCAAGCAAAGGUUCUGGUUUCUGGGGGCACUGGAUGCAGCUGGAAAUCGUAUUGAAGUGGGUGAACAAAGCUAAAGAUGAAGACUUCACAGUUUUACGUUGGUUAAACCCAGCCCUUGAAGCAAAUCCAUCUGAUGCCUUUCAAACUGAUGGAGAAUUGCAUUGACCAAGGACAAACAGGUGGACAACUCCUAUGCCAUCUAACAAAGGGGUUCAGUGCUAAUUAUCCUGAUUUGCUGAUUGAUGGUGAAUUUGCAGUGUGUAUGAUCGAAUAGCUGCAUUGCCUUGACUCUGGGGUGUUCUACAUAGAACAAGAUUACUGAAGAACCCAGCAACCUCACAGUAGAAGGCUACAAGACCUGGUUUUGUGUUGACUAAAUCCAUUUUUUGUUUUGUGUAAACCUUUUACAGGUUACUCUGGCCUUGUAGUUCUGUGCUAACAGAUACUGUUGUGUAACCCCAAUACCUGGAUAAAGAUCCUAUUGGAGAGGCAAAAGUUAAUCUCCGAGUUUUAAAUUAAGCCUUAACCAAGGGAUCUGCAGUCUUCCACCUGGUGCAACAGUCCUGAUUAACUGGUUGCAGCACCAUCUUCAAAUCUUAAAGAACUUGGUUCUGUACACAAAAUAUUUGCAUUAAAGAUUAAUACAUUUGA